rnacentral:lncRNA from 1 species
UAGAUAAAUCUCAAUCUAAUCUUAAUUUAAUCCUAGUUAAAAUCCUAUUCGACUUCAUUCAAACUUUAGGCCAAAAAUUAAUUAAAUCUUAAACUCUAAAUAAAUUCUAAUCAAAUCCUAAAUUGAAUCUAAUCAAAUUCUAAUCCUAAAUAAAAUCCUAAACCUUAAAUCAAAUCCUAAUCAAAUCUUAAAUCCUAAAUCAAAUCUUAAUCAAAAUCUAAAUCUUAAACCAAAUUUUAAAUUUUAAAUCAAAUCCUAAUCAAAUCUCAAUUCUAAUCAAAUCCUAAUCAAAUCCUAAAUCCUAAAUCAAACCCUAAUCAAUCCCAAGUAAUUCUUGCAACAGAUUUGAACCUCAAUAAUUAAUGAAUGAACCAUUGAUUUUAAUUCAAAAUUUGCAUUUUUCUUAAAAAAGUUGAUAAUAAGCACUAAAAAAAAUAAAAAGAGUCAAAAUUACCAAAUAGAUGAUAACUUCAAAAACAUGCUUAAGUAUUAGUUGACUUCCUUCUUUGACCUUGAUGCUAAUCUUUUAGAGCCAAUAUCUCUCUUUUUCACCAUUCAAUUGAUCUCAAAAUUUUCAUAUAU